ACUUUCGUAAGUACUCCUGUAUGUUCAAAUAUUUUAAGUAAUCACACAAUGUCACUUGUAAAUGUUUCCAACUAUGGGCAGUUAAUUAAUUUAAUUAGCAAAAUGUUUUUUUAUUCGUAGAACAAUUUGCAAAACUUUACUUGGUUUCUCUAGCGGCUUUAUUUUGAUGCAAUUGCUUACUUUUGUACAAAUGCGCACACCCACCUAAUUAGCAGAAUA